rnacentral:lncRNA from 1 species
CAAAAUAUUAAAAAUCAAUCUAAAAUGUCAGUUCCUAUGACUUUAUAAUGUAUAAAUAUGAAUUUAAAGCAAAGGUCAAAAUCUAGAACGUCCUAUUAACCUUUGACCUUGACCUCAAUUUCAAGGUCACAACCAAGGACCUCAAAUAAAAAGACCCUAGGUCUGUAAUAUGUAUGGUUAAUGAGUUAUAUCACUUUAGGCAUGAUUUUAAAUAUAAGAUGGGCGAAA